rnacentral:rRNA from 1 species
AUUGAACGCUGGCGGCAGGCCUAACACAUGCAAGUCGAGCGAGCGGCGGACGGGUGAGUAAUGUCUGGGAAACUGCCUGAUGGAGGGGGAUAACUCCUGGAAACGGUAGCUAAUACCGCCUACCAUCAGCUGUGCCCAGAUGGGAAUAGAUAGUAGGUGGGGUAACGGCUCACCUAGGCGACGAUCCCUAGCUGGUCUGAGAGGUUGACCAGCCACACUGGAACUGAGACACGUUCCAGACUCCUACGGGAGGCAUCAGGGGGGAAUAUUGCACAAUGGGCGCAAGCCGGAUUCAGCCAGGCCGCGUGUGUGAAGAAGGCCGUCGGGUUGUAAAGCACUUUCAGCGGGGAGGCGUUACCCGCAGAAGAAGCACCGGCUAACUCCGUGCCAGCAGCCGCGGUAAUUC